UGGGGAAUCUUGCGCAAUGGGCGAAAGCCUGACGCAGCGACGCCGCGUGUGGGAUGAAGGUCUUCGGAUUGUAAACCACUGUCGGGAGGGACGAAGCUCUGACGGUACCUCCAAAGGAAGCACCGGCUAACUCUGUGCCAGCAGCCGCGGUAAUACAGAGGGUGCGAGCGUUGUCCGGAAUCACUGGGCGUAAAGGGCGCGUAGGCGGCCUGGUAAGUAGGGGGUGAAAUCUCAUGGCUCAACUGUGAGGCUGCCUUCUAGACUGCUGGGCUUGAGCACGGUAGAGGCUGGUGGAAUUCCCGGUGUAGCGGUGGAAUGCGUAGAGAUCGGGAGGAACAUCGGUGGCGAAGGCGGCCAGCUGGGCCGUUGCUGACGCUGAGGCGCGAAAGCGUGGGGAGCAAACAGGAUUAGAUACCCGCGUAGUCCCUGAGCGGGCUGGCAAGGCGCAU
rnacentral:rRNA from 1 species